GCGCCCAUAGUUUAACGGAUAGAAUAGCGGUUUGCGGAACCGUUGAUCUGAGUUCGAUUCUCAGUAGGCGCA
rnacentral:tRNA from 2 species